CCUACGGGAUGCAGCAGUAGGGAAUAUUGCUCAAUGGGGGAAACCCUGAAGCAGCAACGCCGCGUGGAGGAUGAAGGUUUUCGGAUUGUAAACUCCUUUUGUUAGAGAAGAUAAUGACGGUAUCUAACGAAUAAGCACCGGCUAACUCCGUGCCAGCAGCCGCGGUAAUACGGCAGGUGCAAGCGUUACUCGGAAUCACUGGGCGUAAAGAGCGCGUAGGCGGGAUAGCAAGUCAGAUGUGAAAUCCUAGGGCUUAACCAUAGAACUGCAUUUGAAACUGUUAUUCUAGAGUAUGGGAGAGGUAGGUGGAAUUCUUGGUGUAGGGGUGAAAUCCAUAGAGAUCAAGAGGAAUACUCAUUGCGAAGGCGACCUGCUAGAACAUAACUGACGCUGAUGCGCGAAAGCGUGGGUAGCAAACAGGAUUAGAUACCCCUGUAGUC
rnacentral:rRNA from 1 species